rnacentral:misc_RNA from 1 species
UCUCCGUUGGUGAACCAGCGGAGGGAUCAUUACAGAGUUGCAAAACUCCCAAAACCAUUGUGAACCUUACCUUUAACCGUUGCUUCGGCGGGCGGGCCCUGCGCCCCCCGGGCCCCCCUCGCGGGGGGCGCCCGCCGGAGGUCUCCCAAACUCUUGAUACCAUGUGGCCUCUCUGAGUAUUCUGUACUGAAUAAGUCAAAACUUUCAACAACGGAUCUCUUGGUUCUG